rnacentral:rRNA from 1 species
AGAGACAGCAGUCGCCGCGGUAAUACGUAGGGUGCAAGCGUUAAUCGGAAUUACUGGGCGUAAAGCGUGCGCAGGCGGUUAUAUAAGACAGAUGUGAAAUCCCCGGGCUCAACCUGGGAACUGCAUUUGUGACUGUAUAGCUAGAGUACGGCAGAGGGGGAUGGAAUUCCGCGUGUAGCAGUGAAAUGCGUAGAUAUGCGGAGGAACACCGAUGGCGAAGGCAAUCCCCUGGGCCUGUACUGACGCUCAUGCACGAAAGCGUGGGGAGCAAACAGGAUUAGAUACCCGCGUAGUCCCUGUCUCUUAUAC